rnacentral:rRNA from 1 species
UACGUAGGGGGCUAGCGUUGUCCGGAAUUACUGGGCGUAAAGAGCUCGUAGGUGGUUUGUCGCGUUGUUCGUGAAAACUCACAGCUUAACUGUGGGCGUGCGGGCGAUACGGGCAGACUGGAGUACUGCAGGGGAGACUGGAAUUCCUGGUGUAGCGGUGGAAUGCGCAGAUAUCAGGAGGAACACCGGUGGCGAAGGCGGUUCUCUGGGCCUUACCUGACGCUGAGGAGCGAAAGCGUGGGGAGCGAACAGG